UACGUAGGGUGCAAGCGUUGUCCGGAAUUAUUGGGCGUAAAGAGCUUGUAGGCGGUUUGUCGCGUCUGCUGUGAAAAUCCGGGGCUCAACCCCGGACUUGCAGUGGGUACGGGCAGACUAGAGUGCGGUAGGGGAGACUGGAAUUCCUGGUGUAGCGGUGAAAUGCGCAGAUAUCAGGAGGAACACCGGUGGCGAAGGCGGGUCUCUGGGCCGUAACUGACGCUGAGGAGCGAAAGCAUGGGGAGCGAACAGG
rnacentral:rRNA from 1 species